UGUGUGUGUGUGUUGGGGGUGUGUGUUUUUCUCAUCCCCUCUCCCCUCUAGAGGUAGCUGGCACUCUUUCUAGAUUGUGUAGUCCUAGUUUCUUCAAGAGAAGAAAGUUCUCAAUGCCUCCCUCAACCUAAAAAAUUCAAACCUCACACCCUUUAGAUUUAUUCACACUUUACUGUAAGAAACACAAUCCUUCUUGUUCAUUUAUGGAUUAUGGACUCAUGGAUCCAUAUUGAUAUAUAUACAAGCUGCUUUUCUGAGUAAAAACACUUGGAAAUUGCUUUCCGGCUCCGAGAGUUCCAGAGUGUAUGUCCUGCGAAGUUAGUGCCGCACGAGUUCCUGAUCCCUCUCCCAUGCAGCAGCCUAGAUCGGCUCCAGUUGAGUUCUCUCCAACCCUGAGAACACUUGUUCGGGAAGAAGCACCCUCAGGCUAUCCCGCACCAAACCAUUUAGGAAAGGAGCCAAAGGUCAGAGUUACAGAUAGAUAUUUUGCAUAAUUGCAAGGCCUGUGGGCUACUAAUUAAAGUCUGUUGACACACUUAAUACUUCUUCCUUAAGGGGGAAGGAAUAGUGACUUAAAGGGCUUGAAGCCUUUCUUACUGGGCAGAAUGUACCUGUUAACAAUCAGCCAGACUUGUUUUGGCUUUAUGCAAAAUCAACAGAAUUUCUUUCUUUCGCUCUCUCUCUCUCUCUCUCU